UCAGCGUGACGCGCAGCCGUAAUGGCACGCGAACUGGGCCAAACUUCUUCCGCUUUUCCUCGGCGAAGCUCUCCAGAGUCCUCGCUGAAGCUGCGGCGCAUGCGCACGAUAAAUGCGCCUGCAAACGGCGUCACCGCUGGAGAUGCUGCGGCUGACCAGGUUCCCGACCCGGUGGCGGCGACCUCCAGCGGCAGGGGUCCCCGCGAAGAACGUCGGCUUCAGGAAGGUGGCCUCUGGCGUCUCUUCCCUGGGCAGCGCCUCGUCCAGAUCCCUAAACAUAUUCGAUCGGGAUUUGAAGAGGAAACAGAAGAACUGGGCGGCCCGGCAGCCUGAGCGGAUAAAGUUUGACUACCUGAAGGAGGAGGUUGGAAGUCGGAUUGCAGACCGUAUAUAUGACAUAGCCAGAGAUUUCCCCCUUGCUUUGGAUGUCGGUUGUGGAAGAGGUUAUAUAGCACAACAUUUGAAUAAGGAAACUGUUGGAAAGUUUUUCCAAACAGACAUUGCAGAAAAUGCUUUGAAAAAUGCCUUAGAAAUGGAAAUUCCUACUGUCAGUGUUUUAGCUGAUGAAGAAUUUCUUCCCUUCAGAGAAAAUAUAUUUGAUCUGGUGGUUAGCAGUUUAAGUUUGCACUGGGUGAAUGACCUUCCUAGAGCACUUGAACAGAUUCAUUGUGUUUUAAAACCAGAUGGAGUGUUUAUUGGUGCAUUGUUUGGAGGUGACACUCUCUAUGAACUCCGGUGUUCAUUACAGUUAGCGGAAACAGAAAGGGAAGGAGGAUUUUCUCCACACGUCUCUCCUUUCACUGCUGUCAAUGACCUAGGACAUCUGCUCGGGAGAGCCGGCUUUAAUACGCUGACUGUGGACACUGAUGAAAUUCAAGUUAACUAUCCUGGAAUGUUUGAAUUGAUGGAAGAUUUACAAGGGAUGGGUGAGAGUAACUGUGCUUGGAAUAGAAAAGCCCUCCUGCACCGAGACACAAUGCUGGCGGCUGCAGCAGUGUACAGAGGUAAGGGAGCUGACCGUUCUUCCCAGCCAGGUCCCACUGACCAACUUGUGCCCUGUCAUCUUUAUCCCCUAAAAUUACGUUUUCCUUUCCUGUUAGGGCACCAUCAGAUUUCUUGUCCUUCCUUUCAAAACGCAGAUCCUGUGGCUACGUAUCCUUUUUCCCAGCAGCCCUUACUAUUUCCUUACUGUCAGCUUCUCGGUGUGGAGGAUUUUUCACAAGAGGCAUUCUCAGAAUCCCAUGAGUAUUCUAAUAUUCAUUUCUCUUUGGAAGACAUGACUUUCAUUGAGCAGAUUUAUUUUUCCUACUUGCAUUCUUUUCAGACUCUAACCAUGAUUUGUCUUUAUAGAAAUGUACGGAAAUGAGGAUGGUUCUGUACCUGCCACCUAUCAGAUCUAUUACAUGAUAGGAUGGAAAUAUCAUGAUUCACAGGCAAGACCAGCUAAAAGAGGUUCGGCAACUGUGUCAUUUGGAGAGCUAGGAAAAAUAAAUGAUCUUAUGUCCCAGGGGAAAAAAUCACAAUAAAUAUUUUAUUCAAUGUUAACAUAGUCCAGACUUUUCAUCAGUGAUGGGUCUUUCACAUCUAAAAUUAUUGCAUUUUGAAACAAGAAGCAAUAUAUAAGCUAUUUACUGUCAGACUUUUCUAAUAAUUAGAAUAGCCUAAUACUCUUCUAUAUUUAGUAACAAUUUCAGUUUCACAUGUUUUCUGUUUUCAUAUGGAUACUGUUAUCUAGUAAUUUGAGUGCCUUAUUUACAAAGUCAGCCCAAAAGCAAGAAGAUAUUUCUAUGAAAAAUCCACAAAUAUAUUAACAUACGUAAAUUCCUGACUUGUUGGAAAAACAUUACCCAUGCUGACAUUUUGUACCUUUUUCUCCUUCUGAUCUUGUGUUAUUUCUGUGAGAGGACGUUAGCUGUGGAGAUGAGGAGAAUGACAAGUUGGUAGAUUCUUUCGUGUUCUGGCUCAUUUAGAAUAAAAAUGUAGUCUUUUAUAACAACUAUUCUAAGAUACUUAAGCCAGAAUUAUUUGUGAUACUGUCUUCUUUGCUAUGUUCCUCUUUGAAGAGGAACAGAGGAUUAUGAACCUCUCUAGAGCUCUUAAGUAGUUUUGUACUUUGGAAGAGUGUUUACCUUUACUGAAUCCUUCCUCACCUUUUUUUUUUUAAAAAACCAUCAGAAUUAUAAUCUUAUUUCUUUCUCACCACCAUGAUCUGGGUGAGACCCCUAUCAUUUUAUAUACUACCUUAGUUAAGAGGAGAACAUUUUAAAGAAUUACAGAGGCAAAAUUACAUGUAAGGUAUCUGCACAGUGAUGAAAAGUGCUGUUUGCUUGAUUUCCCUUUGUUGUUUGAGGUCUUUGGCAAUAUUAUUCUAAUCCAGGUCCACUGUCCCGUUGUCAUGAUCAAAAUGAAUUGGAACCAGUCAAGCUCAGACAGUGUAGAAUAGAUGGAAGAAGAUGGUGAUAAGGCAGCCAGGAGGAAGCUGGGAAGCACCCAAGAGUGAGGACGAGUGUGUUCACCAGUCAGUGCCGAGCCAUUUGCUGUCCUUUUCAUUUAAUGCACAUGGCCCUGCCUCCUCCUCAGCCCUAGGGGAGUUACUGUAGGAUUUGCUUCUCUCUGUGUGUCUCCCACCUGCCUUCCCUCCCUCUGCCACACGAGCACCAAGCUCUCCCUGAGUCCAGGGCUAUGCCUUACGUGGUAGAUAUUCAGCUCCAUUUUGAAUCAAAUUAAAUUAUGUGGAAAAUGUACCCUUACAUAGGCUAAGUUACAGUUAAAAACCAGAAUUUUGUAGGAGAAAAAGAAAUUACUGUUCUUGCUCUCUUCAGUUAGGACAUUCAUUGAUAUCAGAAAUUGGGAUAUUCUUUGUGGCUUUUUUGUUUUUAAUACAAAGGAAAAGAAUACCUAGGCAGCAGAAUUUGGGGAAGGUUUUUUUUAGCUUAAUUUUCCGACUUGAAAGGAAAGGAAAACAAAAAACUCCUACAUAUUAAAGUGUGAACUGAUGCCUAAGGAAAGGACAUAUUCCACGGUGUCUGUGUUUCCUAAAUGACCGGCGUUUAUAGGUAUUGAUAUUUGUUUUUGAAGAAUGCAUGCAGCAUUGUUAAGUGGUUAUUGCUGAGGACAGGGACUGAGGAACCAGAUGUCUCUGCACCUGUCCCAGUGUCUGAAUGUCUGUCGGGGGUACAGGAGAUGGGCAGAAGCUAGGAGGGAGGGUUGUACUUUGACUUUUUAAUCUUUCUGUAAAAUUUGAAGUUUCUUACCAAGGAUAUUAACUUUCAUUUAUUUCAUGCCAACAGAGAAUAUGUGGGUGGUGGGGUGAAGCUGGGGAGGAAUCUACCUUGAGCAAUCUCAAAAACAAGGUCCAUUGGUUUAAAAAAAAAAAGAGGAAUUAACCCAAUGAAUUGAGAACACUUAUUGUUUAACCUGAGUGACAGUAGUAAAAUUAUUUAUUUUAAUGUGAGUGACAGUAGUAAAAUUAUUUCUUUUAGUUAAUAUCUGCUUGAAGUACCUAUUAAGCUUUAAUUGUUUGGAACCUUCAGGAAAUUUAUUUUUCUGAAUAGCUGUGUUUUCCAAAUGAUUAGGGACUCAUCCUUUUAAGCCACAAAAUUUUAAAAAAUAUUUCCAAAAUGUGUUACAUUUUAAACAGUGUAUAGAACAUAACCAUUUCUUUAUAAGUCAACAGUUAUUAUCACAACUUUUUUUCUUUAUAGCUUUAUAACUUUAUAACUUGACAGUUACUAUCACAGCUUGUACUGCAUUGCUUGUUCCUACACUGACUGGCCCCGAGAAUGAGGUGGUUUGUCUCUUUUCCUUCAUUUUUCUUACUUGCUGUCAAUCUCAAUGGCCUUACAGAAACGAACUUUCUUGAGUCAGUUCUUCUUGCCCCUUUGUGAUGUGUAAGAUUAGAACUCAGAUUGGAAGGUUUCUAGGUCGGGGUUUAAGGUAGGAAAGAGGGAGGAGGUUCUGCGAGAAGGACUCUUGGAGUAAAAUGCAUGGGCUUUAUUGGUUCCCUUAACAAGUCCCCAUCGAGACCCAUGUGCCGGGCUCCCGACUUUUCUCUGCGCUCUUAGUCGUCAGUCUAACAUGGCUUCAGGCGGUGGACCUGGGACAUCUGCUGGCUGCUGGGAUACAUUUUGGAUUAUUUCCUGGUUGUUAGCAGUAUUCCAGGUUGUUGGCCUAGAGAACAGAGGUGGCAGUAUUCAUGAAAACUUACAUUUUUAAAACAAAGAAUUUCUUCAGGAUUUGUUGAGAUGGAAGCUACCCAUAGAUACCAAGUUUGUGAUAUGAAUGUAAAAAGUUACAGCUACAGAAAGGUAUACUUCCUGAAGUAGCUAUGAAGCAAGUUUUGUUUUCCAAACCCUUUUAGUACCAUUUUUAUCCACUAGGUGGAAACAAUUACAGUAUGGCCUAUAUUGAAGAUAUAGUUUUUAUAACUCAGUGUAUAUACCUUAAGUAAGGAUGAAAAAAAAGUAUUUAACCAUGGAUUGGCAUCUGUGUAGGAAAGAAACAUUAAAAGACAUUUGGGGAAAAGAAGAAUACUUGGCAUAGUGAUUAUUUUAUUCCUUUGUAAAUGAUUAUUUUAGCCUCUCUUGCCUAAGAAGAAAGUUUUGAGGGUUUUUUUUAGAGGGGGGCUCGAGGUGGGGUGGUUGUUAUUGCUGCUGUUAAUAAUGUGAAGUUUAUCUUCAGGAAACUAAUAAGCGGACCUGCCCUUCCAGAAAUUGGGGUACUUUAAUUCUCUGCCUGGAUACUUGACAGGUAUUUAUCUCUCUGGAUUAAAAAAACAAAUUUGAAGAAAGCGGAAGGUACUGUUGUUAACAAAUAGGGAAAUAAUGCUUUGGCGUCUGUGGUGGUUUUAAAAUCUAUCCACAGAUUCUUUGAUACUCUUUUCUCCAAGAGGUGGAGCUUCAUUCCCCUCCCUGUGAGUCUGGGCUGAAUUCAGUGAUUCGCUUCCAACAAAUAGAAUAUGGAAGUGAUGGUGUGUCCCUUCUGAGGAGGUAGUAAGAGGCCCACUUCCUCCUCGCUGUGUCUGAGAUCACAACCUCAGGGAGAGCCAGCGCCGUUCGUGGAGGGCAUCAAGCAGUGCUUUGGAGAGGACGGCACAGACCUGCCAGCGAGGGAGCCAACCCGGGGGAGAUCUUCCAACCCCAGUGUGACUUUCAGGUGACACCUUGACGGCAGUCUCAUGACAGACCAUGAGCCAGAGCCACCUAGCUAAGCCACUCCACGUUCCUGGCCCACAGAAACUGAGAUAAUAAAUGUCUGUUGUUUAA